rnacentral:rRNA from 1 species
CUAGGGGACUUUAAUGAAAUACUUUCGAGUACAGAGAAGGAAGGCGGUGCGGUCCGGCCACAACACUGCAUGGACGGCUUUAGGGAGGCAUUAAACAGAUGCGAGCUGCGGGACAUUGGGUUCGAGGGUGACAUAUACACCUGGAGGAACCAUAACAUUUGUGAACGGUUGGAUAGGGCGACCGCGAACGAGCAAUGGUGUGACAAAUUCCCUGGGUUUGUAGUUGUCAAUGGAGAUCCGCGACAUUCUGAUCAUCAGCCAAUCAUAGUUUGUACGGAGGGUGCGGAGAGUAAUUGGAGUAGGGGAGACUCAGGAUUCAGAUUUGAAGCACGCUGGCUGCAAGAGGAAGGUUGCACUGAUGUGAUUCGAGAGGCCUGGAAUGCGAGCAGGAGGGGGGGGGGAAUGAAGGAGUAG